rnacentral:lncRNA from 10 species
AUCGAGGGGAGCGGGCACGCAGCCUGAGCUCUGAGCCAAGCCAGCCUGUGCCCCAGGGCACACCGAGGCAACUUUUGUGGAUGUACGUGGGAGGGGCGCACGUGCUCAGAGGUCACCGGGAAGAAGUGAAGGACAGUGUCUCAGAGGACCCGGAAAACAAGAGCAGGAGAGCAUCAUGCCCAAGGCCUGUCCUGGAGCAAAUCAGUGGCAGAACUAGAUCGAGAGCCACAUCUCCAGAGUCCCCAUUCUCUUUUCCCCAAGCUCCAUGCCACCUGAAUGACAGGUUGGAGGAGGCCUGGCUCCAAUCAGCUAAUUUUUCAGACCUUUGA